rnacentral:rRNA from 1 species
GAGUUUGAUCAUGGCUCAGAACGAACGCUGGCGGCAGGCUUAACACAUGCAAGUCGAACGCUCGUAGCAAUACGGGAGUGGCAGACGGGUGAGUAACACGUGGGAACAUGCCCUUUGGUUCGGAACAACUCCGGGAAACUGGAGCUAAAACCGGAUAAGCCCCUCGGGGGAAAGAUUUAUCGCCGAAGGAUUGGCCCGCGUCUGAUUAGCUAGUUGGUAGGGUAAUGGCCUACCAAGGCGACGAUCAGUAGCUGGUCUGAGAGGAUGAUCAGCCACACUGGGACUGAGACACGGCCCAGACUCCUACGGGAGGCAGCAGUGGGGAAUAUUGGACAAUGGGCGCAAGCCUGAUCCAGCCAUGCCGCGUGAGUGAUGAAGGCCUUAGGGUUGUAAAGCUCUUUCGCGCGCGACGAUAAUGACGGUAGCGCGAGAAGAAGCCCCGGCUAACUUCGUGCCAGCCGCCGCCGUAAU